rnacentral:misc_RNA from 1 species
AUUUGGAUUCUGGUUUGGAUGAUGAUGUAAUGUGUAGUGAUUUGCAGCACGCUGAUUUAGAUUCUGGGGAUAUUGGUAUUACAAAGAAAGAAAAGGUCGUGUAUGAAAAACCAAUUGACUUUACCAAAGUUGACAUUAAUUUGCUUCCAACUGUCAUUAUUGUCGGGCGUCCAAAUGUGGGAAAAUCAGCCCUGUUCAACCGGUUGAUUCGAAGGAGGGAGGCUCUUGUGUACAAUACACCAGAUGAUCAUGUUACUC